GGCUUGUUGGUGGAACAUGGCACUUGCAGCGCCAGGGUUGUGGGUUCGAUUCCCACAGGGGCCC
rnacentral:tRNA from 1 species